GCUUGAAUAGUUUAAUUAAAAUAUUAGCUUGUGGUGCUAAUGAUGUAGUUUUUACUUUAGGUA
rnacentral:tRNA from 1 species